rnacentral:rRNA from 1 species
AUUGAACGCUGGCGGCAGGCUUAACACAUGCAAGUCGAACGAUUCGCGGACGUGUGAGUAAUGCAUGUGAAUCUGCGUUAUGGAUGGGGUUAAGGACGGGACACUGUCGCUACUACCGCGUACCUUAGCAUGAGCCGAAGUGGGAUUAGGUAGUGGGUGGGGUAAUGGCCUACCAAGCCCACGAUCUCGAGCUGGUCUGAGAGGAUGACCAGCCACACCGGAACUGAGACACGGCCCGGACUCCUACGGGAGGCAGCAGUGGGGAAUAUUGCGCAAUGGGGGAAACCUGACGCAGCCAUGCCGCGUGAAUGAAGAAGGCCUUCGGGUUGUAAAGUUCUUUCGGUGAGGAGGCGUUAAUCACAGAAGAAGCACCGGCUAACUCCGUGCCAGCAGCCGCGGUAAUAC